AUGUAUAAGCUGACCACCUACCCUGGAACCCCCCACCUCCCACCACCAGGUGAUUUGCUGAAACCCUUCUGGGAGCUUGUUUUUUUUUUUUUUUUUUUUUUAGGGCAUGAACCACUCGUCUCCUGGCCCUGCAGUAAACCUUUUUCUGCUCGAAGCUCUGAUGUUUUAAUGUGUUGGAGUACACGAACUAGUGCUAACCAUCUCCUCUUGUGUUCAUUUUCCUCUCUCGUCAUCAGGUGCCUGGAGCUGCUGGCUUUUCCCUGCCAGGCAGGAGACCCCGAAGCUGCUCUGUCCUCCCUCCCCUCUGUAGGCUGGGGAGGGCAUCUUUCUGAUCCUUGGAUAAAAUCCCUCCUAUCAAGAUCAUCCAUCAGUAUCUUCCUGAACAUUCCCAAAGGCCCUCUGAGAGAAUGGUAUGAGAUUCUUUUUCAUCUGAAGUCCACAGCCCUGGGGUCCUUGAAAGUGAACCUGAUCCUACUCGAACCAGAUUUUCACUAUAAACAAAAAGGCUCUGUGAUUCCUCCAAGGCACAGAAGGACAAGAGAUUCCAAUCAGAUGACCUCUAGCUUGAUUUCAAAUACAACCAUUCUACCAGGAAGCUAUUCUCUCAAAUCUGUGAAGAAGAUUCUGAAAGCUGAAAGGUGUUAGAUAUUGAAAGACAAUUCCCAAAAUAGUGAAAGAAAGAUUUCAUUAUUUUGUUACUUUUUUUUUUUUUUCCUUUUGGUAAUAAAGAAUUUGGUGGAGUUAGUUUCUGGCA
rnacentral:lncRNA from 1 species